UUAUACACAAUGACUCUGCUAAGUGUUUUUACUUAAUUUUACUAGUAUAUAAUUUUAUGCAUUCUAUCCUUGUUUAUCCAGAAACCACUCUCAAAUGUUGUGCAAAACUUAGUUUGUAACUUCAAUAACUUUUUCCUUUCUCAGGGUCCCAAUGUUGGCUCUAUUUCAUUUUCUAAUAAUUUCUUCAAACUUUCUUUGCAAGUCAAACAUGAAUCCAGAACUACCAUUGUGCAACUGUUAAAUUGUUUCCAAGAUGAGAGCUCAUGACAAUCCAGGAUCCCAGCCAAGGAAUGGUGACACCCAUAGUGGGCAAGUCUUCCCGCCUCAAUUAACAUUAUCCAGAUAAUCCCUCCGGCUGGAGAGAUGGCUCAGCGGGUAAGAGCACUGACUGCUCUUCCAGAGGUCCUGAGUUCAAAUCCUCAGCAACCACAUGGUGGCUCACAACCAUCCGUAAUGAGAUCUGACGCCCUCUUCUGGAACGUCUGAAGACAGCUACCGUGUACUUACAUAUAAUAAAGAAAUAAAUCUUUAAAACAAAAAAUAAAGAUAAUCCCUCAUGGGCAUGUCCAAGGUCCAAAUCCUGGUGGUCUCUAGAGCCUGUCAAGUUGACAAUCAGUACCAUUCAUUUCUUCCUCCAUCCUUAGAAUGGCAUGAAAAGUUUAUAAAAUUCACAGUCCAACAAAACACUGCUUUACAUAACAUGAAGUAACUUAGGACUGGGCAGACUGAUCUCAAUAGCUGGCAUUAUAAGUGUUGAAUAAGCGAGAAACUCAACUUCAGUUGGCCUAGAUCCAUAUAGAGCCUAAUGUACAACUUGCCAUCACUCAUUUACCUUCUAGCAGAGUGGUGCAAACCAUCCCGCCUACCUAGCAGCAUUGAGGCUUUGCAUUGGCAGAUACGUGAGCCUACUUAUCUGCCUGAGUCACGCCGUGUCUCUUCACUGUGCCUGUCACAAGAAGAUAGCUUAAUAAUUACCUAUGUACCUUGUAACGUUCAGCAGUAACUCGAUGCCAGUUGCAUGCCAGAUUCUGUCCAUUUGAUUUCACUGAUUUACCUCAUCUGAUCUUCUCAGGUGUUCUAAGGUGAUGAAAGGACAACAUAAACUCCACUUACCUCCAUUGAAGAACUAGGCCUGAUUUUUUUUUUAAAAAAAGGCCAUAAGGCACUAGCUCCAGGAACCAAACCUGGAUCUGUUGGAAGAGGAACCCGUGCUCUUACCUCCUGAGCCAUCUCUC
rnacentral:lncRNA from 1 species